AACGCGAAGAACCUUACCAGCCCUUGACAUCCCGGUCGCGGACUCCAGAGAUGGAGUCCUUCAGUUCGGCUGGACCGGAGACAGGUGCUGCAUGGCUGUCGUCAGCUCGUGUCGUGAGAUGUUGGGUUAAGUCCCGCAACGAGCGCAACCCCCGUCCUUAGUUGCUACCAUUUAGUUGAGCACUCUAAGGAGACUGCCGGUGAUAAGCCGCGAGGAAGGUGGGGAUGACGUCAAGUCCUCAUGGCCCUUACGGGCUGGGCUACACACGUGCUACAAUGGCGGUGACAAUGGGACGCUAAGGGGCAACCCUUCGCAAAUCUCAAAAAGCCGUCUCAGUUCGGAUUGGGCUCUGCAACUCGAGCCCAUGAAGUUGGAAUCGCUAGUAAUCGUGGAUCAGCAUGCCACGGUGAAUACGUUCCCGGGCCUUGUA
rnacentral:rRNA from 1 species